rnacentral:rRNA from 1 species
AGACUGCCGGUGUUAAACCGGAGGAAGGUGGGGAUGACGUCAAGUCCUCAUGGCCUUUAUGCCCAGGGCUACACACGUGCUACAAUGGGUGGUACAAAGAGCAGCCAGCUCGCGAGAGUGAGCAAAUCUCAAAAAAGACCAUCCUCAGUUCGGAUUGAAGUCUGCAACUCGACUUCAUGAAGUUGGAAUCGCUGGUAAUCGCGGAUCAGCAUGCCGCGGUCGAAUACGUUCCCGGGCCUU